ensembl:misc_RNA Metazoa_SRP Metazoan signal recognition particle RNA
GCCGGGUGUGGUGGUGUGCGCCUGUAAUCCCAGCUACUUGGGAGGCUGAGGCAGGAGAAUCGCUUGAACCCAGGAGGCGGAGGUUGCAGUGAGCUGAGAUUGUGCUACUGCACUCCAGCCUGGGCAAUAGAGUGAGACUCUGUCUCAA